UACGUAGGGUGCGAGCGUUAAUCGGAAUUACUGGGCGUAAAGCGUGCGCAGGCGGUCUGUUAGGACAGAUGUGAAAUCCCCGGGCUUAACCUGGGAACUGCAUUUGUGACUGGCAGGCUAGAGUAUGGCAGAGGGGGGUAGAAUUCCACGUGUAGCAGUGAAAUGCGUAGAUAUCUGGAGGAACACCGGUGGCGAAGGCGGCAUCCUGGACCGAUAUUGACGCUGAGGCGCGAAAGCCAGGGGAGCAAACGGG
rnacentral:rRNA from 1 species